CUCACUAGUCGAGUCGGCCUGCGCGGAAGAUGUAACGGGGCUCAAACCACACACCGAAGCUGCGGGUGUCACGUAAGUGACGCGGUAGAGGAGCGUUCUGUAAGCCUGUGAAGGUGAGUUGAGAAGCUUGCUGGAGGUAUCAGAAGUGCGAAUGCUGACAUGAGUAACGACAAUGGGUGUGAAAAACACCCACGCCGAAAGACCAAGGGUUCCUGCGCAACGUUAAUCGACGCAGGGUUAGUCGGUUCCUAAGGCGAGGCUGAAAAGCGUAGUCGAUGGGAAACAGGUUAAUAUUCCUGUACUUCUGGUUACUGCGAUGGAGGGACGGAGAAGGCUAGGCCAGCUUGGCGUUGGUUGUCCAAGUUUAAGGUGGUAGGCUGAAAUCUUAGGUAAAUCCGGGGUUUCAAGGCCGAGAGCUGAUGACGAGUCGUCUUUUAGAUGACGAAGUGGUUGAUGCCAUGCUUCCAAGAAAAGCUUCUAAGCUUCAGGUAACCAGGAACCGUACCCCAAACCGACACAGGUGGUCGGGUAGAGAAUACCAAGGCGCUUGAGAGAACUCGGGUGAAGGAACUAGGCAAAAUGGCACCGUAACUUCGGGAGAAGGUGCGCCGGCUAGGGUGAAGGAUUUACUCCGUAAGCUCUGGCUGGUCGAAGAUACCAGGCCGCUGCGACUGUUUAUUAAAAACACAGCACUCUGCAAACACGAAAGUGGACGUAUAGGGUGUGACGCCUGCCCGGUGCCGGAAGGUUAAUUGAUGGGGUUAGCGCAAGCGAAGCUCUUGAUCGAAGCCCCGGUAAACGGCGGCCGUAACUAUAACGGUCCUAAGGUAGCGAAAUUCCUUGUCGGGUAAGUUCCGACCUGCACGAAUGGCGUAACGAUGGCGGCGCUGUCUCCACCCGAGACUCAGUGAAAUUGAAAUCGCUGUGAAGAUGCAGUGUAUCCGCGGCUAGACGGAAAGACCCCGUGAACCUUUACUGUAGCUUUGCACUGGACUUUGAGCCUGCUUGUGUAGGAUAGGUGGGAGGCUUUGAAGCGUGGACGCCAGUUCGCGUGGAGCCAUCCUUGAAAUACCACCCUGGCAUGCUUGAGGUUCUAACUCUGGUCCGUAAUCCGGAUCGAGGACAGUGUAUGGUGGGCAGUUUGACUGGGGCGGUCUCCUCCUAAAGAGUAACGGAGGAGUACGAAGGUGCGCUC
rnacentral:rRNA from 1 species